UCGCUCUCAGCGGAGGACUGGAGCGUGAGGGGGCUCGUGGGUGCUCUUAUUGGUGAUAAGAUGAUGUAGUUCUGCCACUGAGAUCUGUGGCACUUUAACCUGGGCAAUCAUUGCUGCUGAGUCUAAGAAGCAGGUGCUGAAUCAAGUGUAGAAGUGCAUCAGCCGUGGGGCAGACACUGUGACAUCACUACAGAAAAUAUUAGUCUGUGACUUGGUGUUGGAGGCCCAACUCCAGUGACAAAACCAAACCAAAACAGUGCCAACCUGAAGAUUGGUGUGUGGAGCCAC